ACGAAUGUUGGCGGCGUGUCUAAGGCAUGCAAGUCGAGCGGACGAUAUUUUGUAGCAAUACUUGAAAUCGUUAGCGGCAAACGGGUGCGUAACACAUUGGUAAUCUGCCUCGCAGUCGGGUAUAACUCGCCGAAAGGCGUGCUAAUCCCACGAUAUUCUUCACGUGUUAGUAACGUGCAAGGAAAGCAGUAAUGCGCUGCGAGAGGAGCCUAUGGCCUAUCAGCUAGUUGGUGAGGUAACGGCUCACCAAGGCUAUGACGGGUAGGGGAUGUGAGAGCAUGAUCCCCCUCACUGGAACUGAGACACUGUCCAGACACCUACGGGUGGCUGCAGUCGAGAAUAUUCCCCAAUGGGCGAAAGCCUGAGGGAGCGACGCCGCGUGUGCGAUGAAGGCCUUCGGGUCGUAAAGCACUUUUACCGAGGAAGAACCUUGACGGUACUCGGAGAAUAAGGGGUUGCUAACUCUGU
rnacentral:rRNA from 1 species